rnacentral:rRNA from 1 species
GAUGAACGCUAGCGGCAGGCCUAAUACAUGCAAGUCGAACGGGAUCUGAGGGUAGCUUGCUACCCGAGUUGAGAGUGGCGCACGGGUGCGUAACGCGUGAGCAACCUACCCAUAUCAGGGGGAGAGCCCGAAGAAAUUAGGAUUAACACCGCAUAAUAAUACGUUAACACAUGUUGAUGUAUUUAAAUAUUUAUAGGAUAUGGUUGGGCUCGCGUGACAUUAGCUAGUGGGUAAGGUAACGGCUUACCAAGGCGACGUUGUCUAGGGGCUCUGAGAGGAGAAUCCCCCACACUGGUACUGAGACACGGACCAGACUCCUACGCGAGGCAGCAGUAAGGAAUAUUGGUCAAUGGGCGCAAGCCUGAACCAGCCAUGCCGCGUGCAGGAUGACUGCCCUAUGGGUUGUAAACUGCUUUUGUUAGGGAAUAAACCUUCUUACGUGUAAGGAGCUGAAUGUACCUAAAGAAUGAGGAUCGGCUAACUCCGUGCCAGCCGCCGCGGUAA